rnacentral:rRNA from 1 species
GCGCACUAGGUUCGAGAGAUUCUGACAUCAUUCGUAGCCGAAACAUAAGCGAUAAGUGCGCCGCCUGGGGAGUUCGGCCGCAAGGCUAAAACUCAAAGGAAUUGACGGGGGCUCACACAAGCGGUGGAGCAUGUGGAUCAAUUCGAAGCAACGCGAAGAACCUUACCUGGGUUUGACAUGCACGGAUGCCCUCUAUGAAAGUGGAGUAAGCUGCAUUCAGGGUGAUACGUGCACAGGUGCUGCAUGGCUGUCGUCAGCUCGUGCUGUGAAGUGUCGGGUUACGUCCAUUAACGAGCGAAACCAUUAUCGCUAGUUGCCACCGGGUUAUGCCGGGAACUCUAGCGAGACCCACAGCGUUAACCCGGAGGAAGGUGGGGACGACGUCAUAGUCAUCAUGGCAUUUAUGCCCAGCGUUUUACACGUGCUACAAUGGGGUGUACAGAGCGAAGCGAGACCUGACGGUGGAGCAAAUCGCUGAAUACAUCCAUCAGUUCGGAUUGGGUCAUGCAAUUCGACCCCAUGAAGUU